UACAGAGGUCUCAAGCGUUGUUCGGAUUCAUUGGGCGUAAAGGGUGCGUAGGCGGCCUAUUAAGUCAGGGGUGAAAGACGGUAGCUUAACUAUCGCAGUGCCUUUGAUACUGAUGGGCUUGAAUGCAGCUGAGGUAGGCGGAAUGUGACAAGUAGCGGUGAAAUGCAUAGAUAUGUCACAGAACACCGAUUGCGAAGGCAGCUUACUAAAGUGUGAUUGACGCUGAGGCACGAAAGCGUGGGGAUCAAACAGG
rnacentral:rRNA from 1 species